AAGGUAAAGUCGUAACAAGGUUUCCGUAGGUGAACCUGCGGAAGGAUCAUUACAGAAUGAAAAGUGCUUAACUGCAUUUUUUCUUACACAUGUGUUUUUCUUUUUUUGAAAACUUUGCUUUGAUAGGCCUUCUAUAUGGGGCCUGCCAGAGAUUAAACUCAACCAAAUUUUAUUUAAUGUCAACCGAUUAUUUAAUAGUCAAAACUUUCAACAACGGAUCUCUUGGUUCUCGCAUCGAUGAAGAACGCAGCGAAAUGCGAUAAGUAAUAUGAAUUGCAGAUAUUCGUGAAUCAUCGAAUCUUUGAACGCACAUUGCGCCCUUUGGUAUUCCAAAGGGCAUGCCUGUUUGAGCGUCAUUUCUCCCUCAAACCCUCGGGUUUGGUGUUGAGCGAUACGCUGGGUUUGCUUGAAAGAAAGGCGGAGUAUAAACUAAUGGAUAGGUUUUUUCCACUCAUUGGUACAAACUCCAAAACUUCUUCCAAAUUCGACCUCAAAUCAGGUAGGACUACCCGCUGAACUUAAGCAUAUCAAUAGCGNGGNGGAA
rnacentral:sRNA from 1 species